rnacentral:misc_RNA from 1 species
UUUCCGUAGGUGAACCUGCGGAAGGAUCAUUAACGUGCUCUCCGACGGCAAAGGUGCGCCUGGUCACCCCAAUCGGUUGGCCGGGUGCCAUGAGCCGCUCGAACCUUUUCAAACCCCACCGUGCACUUUGGUCGGCAGAGGGCCUCGCGGUCCCGAGCCGAAUCUUGCAUACCCUUAACUGUGGAAAGUCUAUGGCGGGCCUCUUGUGCCGCCCUAAUCUUUGACAACUUUCAACAACGGAUCUCUUGGCUCUC